GAAACUUACAUAGAAUAAAUUCCAGAAUGAAAAAUACACUAAAAGUUUGACUGGAAUUUUCAAAAUACACUAGACUGAUAUUUCAGUUACAAAAACCUCUUCCAUGUCCAAUCUACAGAGACCAAAUGUACUGCAAUUGGAGUGAGUUACAGUGUACAUACAUUGUAAAAAGAACUGCAAGUACACUGACAUUACACUGUAAUUUACAUAUGAUAUAUUACAAAAUGGAAAUUACACUACAAUUUGGACUGGAAUUUUAAGGACACGGCACUGUAAUUCAGAUCUUUGUUGACACUGUACAUAGGUCAAAGAAAACACUAGAAGUAAAUCAAAAAACAAUAGCUUUGCUUAAGAAUGAUACUGAGUGCUAGAUAC
rnacentral:lncRNA from 1 species